UACGUAGGGGGCAAGCGUUGUCCGGAUUUAUUGGGCGUAAAGAGCGUGUAGGCGGCCAUACAGGUCAGCUGUGAAAACUCGAGGCUCAACCUCGAGACGUCGGUUGAAACCGUAUGGCUAGAGUCCGGAAGAGGAGAGUGGAAUUCCCGGUGUAGCGGUGAAAUGCGCAGAUAUCGGGAAGAACACCCGUGGCGAAGGCGGCUCUCUGGGCCGAUAUUGACGCUGAGACGCGAAAGCGUGGGGAGCGAACAGG
rnacentral:rRNA from 1 species